GACGAACGCGGCGGCGUGCUUAACACAUGUAAGUCGAACGGAGCGAAUGAAAGCUUGCUUUUAUAAGCUUAGUGGCAAACGGGUGAGUAACACGUAGGCAACCUGCCGACAGGAUGGGGACAACAUUCCGAAAGGAAUGCUAAUACCGAAUGAAGCGCAGGAGAGGCAUCUCUCCUGCGUGAAGGAUGGCCUCUAUAUAUAAGCUAUCACCUGUCGAUGGGCCUGCGUCUGAUUAGCUGGUAGGUGAGGUAACGGCUCACCUAGGCGACGAUCAGUAGCCGGUCUGAGAGGAUGAACGGCCACAUUGGGACUGAGACACGGCCCAGACUCCUACGGGAGGCAGCAGUGGGGAAUCUUCCGCAAUGGGCGCAAGCCUGACGGAGCAACGCCGCGUGAGUGAAGAAGGUCUUCGGAUCGUAAAGCUCUGUUGAUGGGGACGAACGUGCCUAAUGCGAAUAGUUUAGUAAUGACGUACCCUCGAGAGCCACGCA
rnacentral:rRNA from 1 species